rnacentral:rRNA from 1 species
AUUGAACGCUGGCGGCAGGCUUAACACAUGCAAGUCGAGCGAGCGGCGGACGGGUGAGUAAUGUCUGAUCAACUGCCUCAUGGAGGGGGAUAACUACUGGAAACGGUAGCUAAUACCGCCAACCAUAAGUUGUACCCAGAUGGGAUUAGCGAGGGGGUGGGGUAAUGGCUCACCUAGGCGACGAUCCCUAGCUGGUCUGAGAGGAUGACGACCCACAUGGGAACUGAGACACGGUCCAGACUCCUACGGGAGGCAGCAGUGGGGAAUAUUGCACAAUGGGGGAAAGCCUGAUGCAGCCAUGCCGCGUGUGUGAAGAAGGCCUUCGGGUUGUAAAGCACUUUCAGCGAGGAGGCGUUACUCGCAGAAGAAGCACCGGCUAACUCCGUGCCAGCAGCCGCGGUAAUAC